AUGUUUAAUUGAUAUUAUUUCACUCAGCGUUUAGUAGCUAUUACUCUUUUUCAGUGAACUCGAACAAUUUAUCUUUUUAAUUUUAAGGGGAAAUCAAGUACCCAAUCGCGCGCGAUCGGGAGUGCCGUGUAAAGUAUCAUCGCGCGAUCGUAACCAUAUUUUUGCAAGUGAGUGAGUGCAUUAAUUUGUGAUGAUUUGAUAAGAAGAGGAGAAGGCCUGGGAGAUAACUUUGAGGUGAGUAAUACUUGCAACAUAUACAAAGUUUAUAAUAUAUAACCUAUCUAAUCAACUCAAUCGCAUGUUACAGAUAUUUCUCGGGAUAAGUAUCGAUAAGAGGAAGCCAACGUCCAUCGUCGUGGAUUAUUACAAAAUAAACGAACCCUAGCCGGUUCGUCGCGUCGCGCGUUUGUUUCGGGAGUGUCAUUUAAAUUAGUUCACGGGCGCAAUUUUAGUACGUUAUUCGUGAGUGUACCGCGAGUGCGAGAUAAGGAGGCUCGACAACUCGGAUCUGAGAAGAGAAAGAGGCCUGGGAGGCAUCGUGCAUCGGCGUAUCAAUCUCUCGAUUAACGUCGCAGGAUCUGAGAGGAGGAAGAGGCCUGGGAGAGGCAUCGGGCUUCAGCGAAGCAACCUUGGGUAUCACCGCAGCUUCGUGGCUGAAUAACUU
rnacentral:lncRNA from 13 species